rnacentral:ncRNA from 1 species
AUAAUGACAAUGAAGAGAAGAGUAAAUGUACAUGAACAUCUUAGAGAGCUUCGGUCGGUGAAAAGAAGCAUGGAAUUGCACAUUGAAGAUGGCCUCCGAGUCUGUUUUGCCGAAUAGUCAGGCAAUCCGGGAACUCCCGUUACAGAGAAAGAGUAUCGAAAGAAAUUUCCGUACUUUUAGAGGUGUAUGCGGUGACGUAUACAUGAAUUCGGGUGGUAUCACGGUUUCUCCGUCCCUUUU